CGGGCGGCAGGCCUAACACAUGCAAGUCGAGCGGUAGAGAGAAGCUUGCUUCUCUUGAGAGCGGCGGACGGGUGAGUAAUGCCUAGGAAUCUGCCUGGUAGUGGGGGAUAACGUUCGGAAACGGACGCUAAUACCGCAUACGUCCUACGGGAGAAAGCAGGGGACCUUCGGGCCUUGCGCUAUCAGAUGAGCCUAGGUCGGAUUAGCUAGUUGGUGAGGUAAUGGCUUCACCAAGGCGACGAUCCGUAACUGGUCUGAGAGGAUGAUCAGUCACACUGGAACUGAGACACGGUCCAGACUCCUACGGGAGGCAGCAGUGGGGAAUAUUGGACAAUGGGCGAAAGCCUGAUCCAGCCAUGCCGCGUGUGUGAAGAAGGUCUUCGGAUUGUAAAGCACUUUAAGUUGGGAGGAAGGGCAUUAACCUAAUACGUUAGUGUUUUGACGUUACCGACAGAAUAAGCACCGGCUAACUCUGUGCCAGCAGCCGCGGUAAUACAGAGGGUGCAAGCGUUAAUCGGAAUUACUGGGCGUAAAGCGCGCGUAGGUGGUUUGUUAAGUUGGAUGUGAAAUCCCCGGGCUCAACCUGGG
rnacentral:rRNA from 1 species